rnacentral:lncRNA from 1 species
CUUUAGGACAAAUUGGUUGGUGCCAAGAAGUCUAGAAUCUAGGAGCAGAGUUUUCCCAUGUCUUGGUUUUGGAUGAUUUCAGAAAUUGUGCCGAUGGGUAUAAAACCUGCCUUCCUCAUCCAACAGUGAGAGAGACAGACAGAGGAAGAGAUUGAGGGUGUGAGCGUGUGAUGAGCAACACUGAGAAAGGCUUGCCACACAGCACACAGUCCUGUGGUUUAGAUUUCCAUCUGUUCUUCAGCUGCUGGGGUGACGCAGGAAACCAAUGACCAAGCUGUCCUGGGCAUGGUUGCAAUAACACCUUCACCACUGCCUUUUCCUACUUUUUUCUACCAUUAAAGAUAUCUUUU